rnacentral:tRNA from 1 species
GGGGAUGGAGCUCAGUGGUAGAGCUCUUGCUUUGCAUGCAUGAAGCCCUGGGUUCCAUCCCCAGCACCA